CAGCCAUAUGACGUUGAAACACCGAUUCUUAUACGAUCAGCAGAGUUAAGCAACAUCAAGCCUGAUCACUACCGAGAUGAGUGACCGCUUGUGAAUACCAGGUGCUGUAA